CAGAGAUGUUUUAUACUGAAAACCCCUAUACAGAUUAACUAUGCAAUCAAUGCAUGCUUCCAGCAGGAUGCACAUCCAAAUGGUUUGCAUGCCCUGCUGAAGGAGCCCAGUGACAAAGUGCACAGUUGGGUGUCAGACUGAUCCCCUGGUCAUGAAUGAAUGCCGGGACCUACCAGAAGGAGAAAAUUUGUUUGAGAGAUGUUCAGUUUGCUGCCAAACAUGCAGCAUAGAGAAGACCAGCAAGGGGGCCCUCCUCACCAUCAUGAAGACAUGUCCUCACUGUAAGCAUUCCUAUGAAUGGAACAGUCAGCCACAUUUUGGCAAGUAUGCGGCCAGCAACCUUCACCUGUCAGCGGAAACAGCUUCUA